GUCGGGGGACCACGAGUAUUCUGAUAUUUGAAAACAUCACGACAUCAGCAUUCGACAUUAACUCUAUACUGGCGACAGGCCUAACAGCAUUCAUCCUUACACUUAUCGACUACAACAAGAUAAUCAUCAUAAGCACACUGCGAAUGACACAAAAGACUUCAUGAAGCAACAGAAUAUUAACUGGUGGGAUGUCAAGCAGAAAGUCCCGAUUUUAAU
rnacentral:lncRNA from 1 species